UCAGAUUUAACUCUAGAUAUCUCCAUUUCUCUCAAGGCUUAAAAUAACAGUCUUAAAAUUCCUCCUAGGAUCCUUGAAGAAACCCUCAUAUCUGCAAACCAAGGUAAGAGAAAAUACUUAUGGAUUUAACUUAAUUCUCCCAUAAAAGACUAGAAAAACAUAUUAUUCAUGCUUAAGUAUAAGUAUAGAGCAGAAUUUAUCCACAAGCUAACUACUCACUUUUCUUGGUUAUUAAGAGACUUUUCUCUUCUCCCUUUAUACAAGUGUGAAGGGAAGUUGAAGUUCUUGAAGAAUUUAAGUCAAAGGACAAGUUACAGAAAUUGAGGUAAGGCUACUUCCCAUUUAUGUCAUUCCUUAAAUACAAAUUUAGGAGGAGAAUUUUGUAUAUUUUUGUCAAGAAUUCAUGAAUGGAUCAGAAUCCUUGAACUCAAUAUUCUCUUAUUUUGAUGUAGGAUUUGUUUGAGGUUGUUAAUGAUUGAUUUAUGUGUAUUGUUGAUGGUGGGAAGCUUGGUGAUCUUGACAAAGGAUAUAUGAAGUUGUAUUAAUGUAUAAAAGAAGGGUAUAAUGAUUUACCAGUUGUGUAAAGGUUGUAUGAGUUUACUAUCUGUGAAGUGUUUAACUAUUGUUUUACGAGGCUAUAAUGUGAUUAGUUGCUAACAUUAGUUUCGUCAUGACUUAUAUUGUAGAUUAACGCCUUAAAGGGGAGGCUGAAAUGUGGUAGUUGUAUUGAUCAAGAAACAAAGUAUGUAAGAUUAUUCGAUUCAAUAUUCCUUGAUGUGAAAACUGAUAUUUGUGAUUAAUAUCAAUGAAGUGAGUUUUUUCAGCCCUAUUCCUAGAAAAGGAAA
rnacentral:lncRNA from 1 species